UGGUAUUGGCUUAAUCAUCCAGGCUAAUGGGACCGUGGCUACAGCAAUGACUCAUCACGACGCUGCAUCUAGGGAGUGUAGAAAAAGCCAACUCUCUAUGCCUUUUUCUCGCUAAAGAUACAGCCCCUUGAAGACCUCCGCAGGCAUCCUCUCAGAUCUCCUCAGCUGGCACUGGGUCGCACACCAGCUUCUGGAUGAGAUCCCCCAGAGCAGAGAGCUCCUCUCCAGGCACGUGACUCUGUGGAAGGGAGCUCUGUUGCAGACUCAGGAGGCCAGCCAGGGCUCACCACAACUGGUCACAGGUGGCGGUCUGGCUCUCUGGGGCCUUUUUGUAGUUUAUGGGAAACCGGCUCCACUCAUUGCUGUGUAGCAACCACAGGAAGUAAAAUGGGGCUGUGUGCAGAGCUGGUUCUUCUAGUAGCCUCUCCAGUGGAGGUGGGAAGGUAAGGACAAUGUGACCAGGUAAUAGCAGCAGCUUCACAUUCAGACGGGAGAGACAUUGU
rnacentral:lncRNA from 1 species